rnacentral:rRNA from 1 species
GGUUGCGAUCAUACCAGCACUAAUGCACCGGAUCCCAUCAGAACUCCGUAGUUAAGCGUGCUAGGGCGAGAGUAGUACUAUGAUUGGUGACCCCCCUGGGAAGUCCUCGUGUUGCAACCC